ACUCCUACGGGAGGCUGCAGUCGAGAAUCUUUCGCAAUGCCCGAAACGGUGACGACGCGACGCCGCGUGCGGGAAGAAGGCCUUUGGGUUGUAAACCGCUGUGGGGCGUAAAGAAAUGCAAGGAUGUUAAUAGCAUCUUUGUUUGACUAAGGCUCCGGAGGAAGCCACGGCUAACUCUGUGCCAGCAGCCGCGGUAAUACA
rnacentral:rRNA from 1 species